rnacentral:rRNA from 1 species
UACGUAGGGUGCGAGCGUUAAUCGGAAUUACUGGGCGUAAAGCGUGCGCAGGCGGUGAUGUAAGACCGAUGUGAAAUCCCCGGGCUUAACCUGGGAACUGCAUUGGUGACUGCAUUGCUGGAGUAUGGCAGAGGGGGGGUGGAAUUCCACGUGUAGCAGUGAAAUGCGUAGAGAUGUGGAGGAACACCGAUGGCGAAGGCGGCUAUCUGGACUGACAUUGACGCUGAGGUGCGAAAGCGUGGGGAGCAAACAGG